rnacentral:rRNA from 1 species
AUGAACGCUGGCGGCGUGCUUAACACAUGCAAGUCGAACGGUUGUGACGGUGUAGUAAUACAUCGUUAUGAUAGUGGCAAACGGGUGAGGAAUAUAUAGGUAACCUGCCCUUUAGUCUGGGACAACUUGCCGAAAGGUGAGCUAAUACUGGAUACGUUCCUGAUUCCGCAUGGUUUUGGGAAGAAAGAUUUAUCGCUAAAGGAAGGGCCUAUAUCUGAUUAGCUUGUUGGUGGGGUAAUGGCCUACCAAGGCAACGAUCAGUAGCUGGUCUGAGAGGACGAACAGCCACACUGGGACUGAGACACGGCCCAGACUCCUACGGGAGGCAGCAGUGGGGAAUAUUGCGCAAUGGGCGAAAGCCUGACGCAGCGACGCCGCGUGAGUGACGAAGUCUUUAGGGAUGUAAAACUCUGUCAAGAGGGACGAUUAUGACGGUACCUCUAAAGGAAGCCCCGGCUAACUACGU